UGAUGGAUACUUGGUUCAAUCCGGACACCCAGCGCAUGCGCGGUAGUACGUAGUCUACGGUUCGGCGCCAAAGACUGAGAAGAAAACGAAGCAGGGAGCCAUGAUGGAUUGACGAAGUAAGCUGCACGUUAGAACAGCAGAGAAAAGCUGCCUGUCAAAGAGUGUAUAAGGAUAUAUGGCAGCUGACAUCAAGAAAUAAUGUGCAGUUAGACAGAAAUCCUUCCCUGAGAAGACCGAGCUUGAUGCCGAACUCGUUGUAAAAAACUGGCUGCGGCAAGCCAAAGCCAGAUGUUGUAGUAACCCCCUCAAGCUCCCUCAUUUUGUAACAUACAUAACAUACAUUCUGUUAAAUAAA